AGGCUCCUAAAUCUAAUAAUACAUAGGCUUUGUAAUGUAUAGGACCUAAAAUAUUAUUCAAUGUAAAACAAAGAGAGGAUUUUAGGGAGAGAAUAGGACCUUCAUUAGAUAUUGUAUAAUUUUUCAGCCGCACGGUCCCUAUUAUAGCUGGACAAACUUGUUUUCUGAUAUAUUAUCUUCUUUGACAUUUGUACACCUCAUUUUAUAAUUUUGUCACUAGUUUAGAUAAUAUUGAGCAAUGUACUUAGGUUCUCCACAAUACAAGCAUAAUCUUUUUUGACAACGAUGAAUCUUUUUUUGCUCAAUAAGAUGUUUAAAAUGUACUACAUCAAUUUGCAUAUCCACUAUUGUUGAAUGUAUGCAUUGAAAAGGCAU
rnacentral:lncRNA from 1 species